CCCAACCCCUUCUAGGGUCCCAUAUCACAUCGAAGGGGUCAGUGGCUUUCAUGCAAGGCCAGCCUUAAAGAUUUAUUUUCUUUCUAACACUGAGAAUUGAAGUAACUGCAGACAUUUGGAGAGGCAUAGCUCAUAGUCCACUGAAACUUAAUGAAUGACCUAACUUCUCUAGAAGGUAAGAUGACUGCAUUGUUUAUAUUUUGUUAUUUGUUACCAGGCAAUCAAUAUGGACUUCAUUGAAAUAUCGUGUGUCAAUUGGAUUUCAUCCCUUAAUCACACUGGCAGAGAAAAGAGGGUAGUGGCUGCUUUGGAGAAUGGAGGAAGCCAGAAAGAAGAUAAAGAGUGAAGAUACAAGAAGACAACGGGAUAAGAUUCAGGGAAGAGAGAAGGUCAUAGAGCUGAGAAGGAAUUGACUUUUCUUCAUGUUAAGGGUGGCAGAGGGGAAGACUUCAGCUGAUCACUAUUCAGGUACAUCUGGAUCCAGGAAUAAGAAACCGUAUGGUGUCCAACUCCUUCAAAAUGGGUACAUCAUGAGAAAUGCUGGGUUGGAAGAAACAAGCUGGAAUCAAGAUUGCCGGGAGAAAUAUCAAUAACCUCAGAUAUGCAGAUGACACCACCCUUAUGGCAGAAAGUGAAGAGGAACUAAAAAGCCUCUUGAUGAAAGUGAAAGAGGAGAGUGAAAAAGUUGGCUUAAAGCUCAACAUUCAGAAAAC
ensembl:lncRNA